CUGAUAUCCCACAAAUAAACCUCAGUUUACUCAUACACUCAGUUGGUAGAAACAUUGAAAUUCACCGGGCAUGUUUCAUGUCGUACACAGAGAUGUACACUCAGGAGAUCACUAAAACUAUGUACCGAAGAAGAGAAGCUGUUCAAACUGGGUUUUUUUUAGAUCAGCUUUUUACAUUUGCCAAAUACAGAAAAAGAUGCAAAAAAACACCCCAAAACAAUGGAAUAUGGAAUCUGUCACAUGCAAUAUUUUUUUUAAUUACUUUUUCACUUUACUUUUAUUUAUUUAUAUUUUAGCCAGCUCAUUUAUCUAACUGAUUGCCAUUUUGCCAUACGGCACAAAGUUAGAGAACAGGACAUAUAUACAUUUAUACUCAUCUUCUCCCUUAUCUGAAGACAGUACAGCAAACCAAAGAACAAUGUCUAACCAAAGAAAGAAAAACAAUUAUCUAGUUUUACAACCCACAAAUACUGUGAUUGCUUCGGAAAUCAGAAAGCCACGUAGUUUUCAGCUUAUCUUAUACAUUUUUUUUUAUUUUUUUUAUUUGCUGGGAAAGCAAUUAUACAAUGUCUUCGUGGACAUUUCACGCUGCCGGAGGAUUGGCACAGGUAGAAAAUACAGCUGCUAUCCGUCACCAAGGAAACAAUGCUUAUGGUUACUUUAUGUUCCUGCUCACCAGUGAAUGGCCCCUCUUAGAACACUUGAGUCUGUGUUCCAAAGCUACGGCCAAAGGCUAUAAUAACUCUUUAAAGACACUUGAGACCUUUUUUUAUGUACAACUUAAUCGAAACCAAAGAAACUUUUUUUUUUUUUCCGCACCUACUUCUGCAACAAACUGUUGCAUUAAAGAAAAGGAAGCACGUCAGGAAAAAAAAACCAACAAAAACAAACACAUAAAAAAACCAAAAAAAACUACACACUGUGUUUGGACAGACAUCUUAGGAAGCAGAUCUCAAAGAUAGGGUUUGAAAGGGUUAAAAAAGCAAAGUAAAGAAUACAGUACGUGGUUGCUGCUUCAUUUGACAACACACAUAAUUAUCUUAAAGUUGAAGAUUGUCUUUAAUUUGUGCCUAUGCAGUUUUUCAAAGAACAAGGAUUUGGAGCAACGUAAACCUCAACAGCUACAAUACCAAAGAUGAGAAUUUCUCACGUUGUGUUUUUUUAUUUUAGAUCAGCUCAUAGUCUCUCUUCUUGCACAGUUUAAACACGGUAUCACCAUUGAUUUUUGUUACCAAUAAUUCUAUUUCUUUGAACAAAAAAGAUUGGUAGUAUAUCCCUUAUCCGUUACUCCAGUCUUAAGGUGUUGGGAUACUAUACUUAUAGUUAUAUAUGCUCUGUGUUCAGGUGAAAUGCGUCAGGUUUCUUCUUGAAAAUUAUAGUUGUUUCUUGCUCA